rnacentral:lncRNA from 1 species
CCAUGUUGCUCUGCUUAUUCCCCUGAUUCUUUUUUUUCAUUUUUUCUUUUCUUAUGAAUUGUCUAAGACGCCUGCUUCGGUGCUCCGGUUUGUUAUUUGCAGGUGCUGAUCGUGCUGCAAGUUGAUGCCUGGGUUUACAACUGGUGGUUUUUCCAUUCCUUAAUCCUCAUGUCUUCUUGUGUGUGUGUGUCACAUGUGCUUACAUCUAGGUUUGAUGCGAAUUUUCUUUUUACAGGGUGCUAGCCACUGUAGUUCUGUUUGUUUGUUCGUAGGACACAGAUGACAAACGGUGAUAUUGCGGUCUCUUUACCUUCAUAUUCUUGUCUUGGUUUUGUUUCUUUCUGCGUGUAUCUACGCCAUGGCUGAACAUUCUUUACUCAUUGAUAUGUGUAUUCACGGGUUUGUUCUUCUUCUAGAGAAUUAAGUUGGUGAAAUUGUUGGUGACUUUUAUUAUUGUUAAUUGCUCAGAGUGAUUGUUCUCAAAGUAGUCUUGAACAAUUAAUCAUUUGCAGGUAUUUAUCUAACCUUUAGUGGCUUCAGUUUCCUGUCAUCUUUCUUUUGGAAAUGGAAAUUGUUGUUGCUUCCCAGGUCAGCUGAG